CUCAGAUUGAACGCUGGCGGCAGGCCUAACACAUGCAAGUCGAACGGUAACAGGAAGAAGCUUGCUUCUUUGCUGACGAGUGGCGGACGGGUGAGUAAUGUCUGGGAAACUGCCUGAUGGAGGGGGAUAACUACUGGAAACGGUAGCUAAUACCGCAUAACGUCGCAAGACCAAAGAGGGGGACCUUCGGGCCUCUUGCCAUCGGAUGUGCCCAGAUGGGAUUAGCUUGUUGGUGGGGUAACGGCUCACCAAGGCGACGAUCCCUAGCUGGUCUGAGAGGAUGACCAGCCACACUGGAACUGAGACACGGUCCAGACUCCUACGGGAGGCGGCAGUGGGGAAUAUUGCACAAUGGGCGCAAGCCUGAUGCAGCCAUGCCGCGUGUAUGAAGAAGGCCAUCGGGUUGUAAAGUACUUUCAGCGGGGAGGAAGGGAGUAAAGUUAAUACCUUUGCUCAUUGACGUUACCCGCAGAAGAAGCACCGGCUAACUCCGUGCCAGCAGCCGCGGUAAUACGGAGGGUGCAAGCGUUAAUCGGAAUUACUGGGCGUAAAGCGCACGCAGGCGGUUUGUUAAGUCAGAUGUGAAAUCCCCGGGCUUCAACCUGGGAACUGCAUCUGAUACUGGCAAGCUUGAGUCUCGUAGAGGGGGGUAGAAUUCCAGGUGUAGCGGUGAAAUGCGUAGAGAUCUGGAGGAAUACCGGUGGCGAAGGCGGCCCCCUGGACGAAGACUGACGCUCAGGUGCGAAAGCGUGGGGAGCAAACAGGAUUAGAUACCCUGGUAGUCCACGCCGUAAACGAUGUCGACUUGGAGGUUGUGCCCUUGAGGCGUGGCUUCCGGAGCUAACGCGUUAAGUCGACCGCCUGGGGAGUACGGCCGCAAGGUUAAAACUCAAAUGAAUUGACGGGGGCCCGCACAAGCGGUGGAGCAUGUGGUUUAAUUCGAUGCAACGCGAAGAACCUUACCUGGUCUUGACAUCCACGGAAGUUUUCAGAGAUGAGAAUGUGCCUUCGGGAACCGUGAGACAGGUGCUGCAUGGCUGUCGUCAGCUCGUGUUGUGAAAUGUUGGGUUAAGUCCCGCAACGAGCGCAACCCUUAUCCUUUGUUGCCAGCGGUCCGGCCGGGAACUCAAAGGAGACUGCCAGUGAUAAACUGGAGGAAGGUGGGGAUGACGUCAAGUCAUCAUGGCCCUUACGACCAGGGCUACACACGUGCUACAAUGGCGCAUACAAAGAGAAGCGACCUCGCGAGAGCAAGCGGACCUCAUAAAGUGCGUCGUAGUCCGGAUUGGAGUCUGCAACUCGACUCCAUGAAGUCGGAAUCGCUAGUAAUCGUGGAUCAGAAUGCCACGGUGAAUACGUUCCCGGGCCUUGUACUCACCGCCCGUCA
rnacentral:rRNA from 1 species